rnacentral:rRNA from 1 species
GCGCCGUACCCGAAUCAUAUUAGUGCAUUCGAGAAGGCUGUCAGAUGUUUUACCGAUUAUCCAUUUGAAAAUGUGAUCUCUCCAGUUCUAGGGACUUCAUUUGACUCGUUGGGUGAGGUUUAUGAUUUUUACAAUCUAUAUUCCUGGAAGAAGGGAUUUGGCAUACGAUGGAAAAAUAGCCGGCUUAAUGUAAAGUGGACGAAAUGUGUGUAG